UUGUGUCUAACAUACAAAUUCAGAACUUCAAAACUAUUUCUGUAUCACAGAUAUUAGUACCUACUACUGCAUCUUAUGAAUAGUUUUGGGUCCAUAUAUGCUUUUCUACGGCACCAAUACGUUAAGGAACAUAAGUAACUCCUUGGCUUGGCUCAAGCGAAUCAGAUAGCAAAUCUGAACUGAUGCUGCCCAAAAUGAAAUCGUCACAUGUCGCUUGCAAUUACUUGACCUUAACAGCGGCUUUUUGGGAGCAUGUGCCAAAUGGAGCUGGCGCUAAGGCUGUGGCUGCUGCUGCUGCUGAUGAUGAUGAUGAUGAAGCUGCGGCUGCUGCAAGUCAUCGCUCACCCAAUUUCAAAAGAUAUUAGCUCGUACAAGAGUACGCACAAGAGUAUAGUAUGUAUGUAUCUUCUAUCUACUUAUGAGUAUGUAGGCAUCCAGUUCCACUUAAUCCGCGCUAAGACAAUUCAACACAUUGCGGCAUUCACAGUACGUUUCGAAUUUCACUAAUAACCACCAAAAGUCGAUGCGGUUCGAUUUCGUUUUCGAGUUUCGAUUUUGAUUGCCACAGCGAAGGUCAAGCUGUAAAUUCAAUUCAAAUAUGAAUUACAUUUACAUUUGUUUAUUGUUUGUAAUUGUUAACGAACUGAAGAUGGGCCCCCAACCAAGAGUACCUAAUACAAUUACCCAUUACAAUGGAA